AGAGAGGCAGCCAAUCAGAAAGUGGGCGCGUGUUGGCGGGCGGGAGGACGCGGGCCCGCGCGCGCGCGAACAGGAGAGGCUGUCGGUGACGUCACCUCGCAGCAGCCCGCGGAAACCCAACGGGAUUACAACGAGGACAGGCGGUGCUAUUUAAACGGACACGCGUCUGACCGUUGGCUCGCGUUACUUUUCAGACUCGGAGCUCCGUGACGCACGUCUGUGUGGUCGUGGCUGGCGAACUGCUCAGCGCAUCACCGGGGAUCUCGAAAGCAAUCGGCGUCCGAGUCAGGCGGUGACGCCUCCUGCAACAUGAGCUGAGCCCUGAAAUACAAAGUGUCACUUUCACUUCUCAAAGCUGAGAGGGCAAGUCCUGUGCUGUGACAAGUGAAUCCUCCGGUGGCCCAAAGCUCUGAUCGCGCACAUCGAAUAAGAGGACAAGAAACUGACGUGCGAGGCCGCGACUCAUCGACAGGACUUUGCUGCUGGAGUGUCUUCAGUAAAUGUUCCACUCGAUGGCCAAAGGGUUCAUUAAGUCUGCUGUACCAACGAUUCACCAAUCAAAACGCAGUACUUCCUAGAGCCCGCCCCCUUGACUUUGAUGAGUGAAGUGACAGUUUUCAUCUCCAGGCGUAUUUUAUGUUGCUUGGUGUGUCAAUGAAAUAAACAAAUGAAAACAGAAUUAAAUGUAUACAAAGAUGA